rnacentral:rRNA from 1 species
AGUGAACGCUGGCGGUAGGCCUAACACAUGCAAGUCGAACGGCAGCACCGUAAGAGCUUGCUCUUACGGGUGGCGAGUGGCGGACGGGUGAGGUAUACAUCGGAAUAUACUUCUUCGUGGGGGCUAACGUAGGGAAACUUACGCUAAUACAGCAUACGACCUACGGGUGAAAGCAGGGGAUCUUCGGACCUUGCGCGAUUGAAUGAGCCGAUGUCGGAUUAGCUAGUUGGCGGGGUAAAGGCCCACCAAGGCGACGCUCCGUAGCUGGUCUGAGAGGAUGAUCAGCCACACUGGAGCUGAGACACGGUCCAGACUCCUACGGGAGGCAGCAGUGGGAAAUAUUGGACAAUGGGCGCAAGCCUGAUCCAGCCAUACCGCGUGGGUGAAGAAGGCCUUCGGGUUGUAAAGCCCUUUUGUUGGGAAAGAAUAGCAGCAUGUUAAUACCCCGCUGUUCUGACGGUACCCAAAGAAUAAGCACCGGCUAACUUCGU